rnacentral:rRNA from 1 species
AGAGUUUGAUCAUGGCUCAGGAUGAACGCUGGCGGCGUGCCUAAUACAUGCAAGUCGGACGCUUUGUGCUUAAUUGAUACGACGAGCUUGCUCUGAUUUGAUUUUUUGAUUUCAAAGAGUGGCGAACGGGUGAGUAACACGUGGGUAACCUACCUCUUAGCAGGGGAUAACAUUUGGAAACAAGUGCUAAUACCGUAUAAUACCAACAACCGCAUGGUUGUUGGUUGAAAGAUGGUUCUGCUAUCACUAAGAGAUGGACCCGCGGUGCAUUAGCUAGUUGGUAAGGUAAUGGCUUACCAAGGCAAUGAUGCAUAGCCGAGUUGAGAGACUGAUCGGCCACAAUGGGACUGAGACACGGCCCAUACUCCUACGGGAGGCAGCAGUAGGGAAUCUUCCACAAUGGGCGCAAGCCUGAUGGAGCAACGCCGCGUGUGUGAUGAAGGGUUUCGGCUCGUAAAACACUGUUAUAAGAGAAGAACGGCACUGAGAGUAACUGUUCAGUGUGUGACGGCUAUCUUACCAGAAAGGAACGGCUAAAUACGUGCCAGCAGCCGCGGUAAUACGUAUGUUCCAAGCGUUAUCCGGAUUUAUUGGGCGUAAAGCGAGCGCAGACGGUUAUUUAAGUCUGAAGUGAAAGCCCUCAGCUCAACUGAGGAAUUGCUUUGGAAACUGGAUGACUUGAGUGCAGUAGAGGAAAGUGGAACUCCAUGUGUAGCGGUGAAAUGCGUAGAUAUAUGGAAGAACACCAGUGGCGAAGGCGGCUUUCUGGACUGUAACUGACGUUGAGGCUCGAAAGUGUGGGUAGCAAACAGGAUUAGAUACCCUGGUAGUCCACACCGUAAACGAUGAGUGCUAGACGUUCGAGGGUUUCCGC